rnacentral:rRNA from 1 species
UACGUAGGGUGCGAGCGUUGUCCGGAAUUAUUGGGCGUAAAGAGCUCGUAGGCGGUGUGUCACGUCGGCCGUGAAAACCUGCAGCUUAACUGUGGGCGUGCGGUCGAUACGGGCAUCACUGGAGUUCGGCAGGGGAGACUGGAAUUCCUGGUGUAGCGGUGAAAUGCGCAGAUAUCAGGAGGAACACCCGUGGCGAAAGCGGCUCUCUGGGACGGUACUGACGCUGAGACGCGAAAGCGUGGGGAGCAAACAGG